rnacentral:rRNA from 1 species
GAUGAACGCUGGCGGCGUGCUUAACACAUGCAAGUCGAGCGGAGUUAUUUCAAGGAAGUUUUCGGAUGGAAUUGAAAUGACUUAGCGGCGGAUGGGUGAGUAACGCGUGGGUAACCUGCCUCAUACAGGGGGAUAACAGUUGGAAACGACUGCUAAUACCGCAUAAGCGCACAGUGCUGCAUAGCACAGUGUGAAAAACUCCGGUGGUAUGAGAGGGACCCGCGUCGGAUUAGGUAGUUGGUGGGGUAACGGCCCACAAAGCCGACGAUCAGUAGCCGACCUGAGAGGGUGACGGGCCACAUUAGGACUGAGACACGGCCCAAACUCCUACGGGAGGCAGCAGUGGGGAAUAUUGGACAAUGGGGGAAACCCUGAUCCAGCGACGCCGCGUGAGUGAAGAAGUAUUUCGGUAUGUAAAGCUCUAUCAGCAGGGAAGAAAAUGACGGUACCUGACUAAGAAGCCCCGGCUAACUACGUGCCAGCAGCCGCCGUAA